CCCACUUUCAGCCCUACUGUCAGGGCAAAGAUUGAGGAGCAUCUAAGUGUGCAUAUAAAAAAUGCUUUGCCUUUAAAAGAUAAAAUGAUAUGCCAGUGCAGGCAGCCUUGUAGGACAACAGGACACUUUCACUGCCCUGUCUGUAAGAUUACAAUCAUACGGCGUGGGGAUAUGGCAAGGCAUUUAUUGUCUUGUCAGCAUUCUUCAAUGCCAAGUCAGCCACCAUUAUCAGGACUGCUCCCCGCUGAACUCUUCGAGGAGACCCCCCCGUUCCCCCCAAGGUUUUGUCUUCGCUCUGGCAAGCUAUUUGCACACUGGAGAGAGGAAGCCAAAGCUGUGCUUGAAGGACAACACGUGCCCAUUUUCAGACUGAAAAAGCGCAAGUUCCAGGAAGUCAGUCAGGAGCCAGCAGUUGUUGAAGAUCUGCGUCCUGCUGUGCAGUGGGCUGUCCAAAAUAAGGCACUUUUCUGUGGACAUGUAACAAUGCCCAAAUAUCUGUCCUUAAAUCAAGGGGACCAGCAGAGGGUCUUAAUAGACAUGUCAGAGGAAGAAGACACUGGAGCAAGGGACUGACUUGUUCCUCUUUGUUUUUCAGUUUGCAGAGGACAUGGAGCUCUUUUUGAAUGCAUGUGCUGAUGAGCAGGGGCUAAGGGUCAGUGCUAUGUUUGACAUGUAAUGGACAAAUGAAGGCACUGGCUGUGUUUGUUUGUUUGUUUAAUAUGUUGUUGUUGUUUUUUUGUUUUGUUUUUUGCGUAGUACAAAAUUCCAAUUAAACUUAUUUCAAAAUGUUGUUCACUUUAUUCUGUGUCCAUACUUAUAAUAAAGGAUUACAGUGAAACAGCAUUAAAUGUAAAUGUAACAGCAUUUUUUUUAAACUUGUAUUUUCAAAAUAAAAAGCUUAUUGUUGAUAUUAACAGUAAAGAAUUGUAAUCAAUAAUAUUUUUAUACAUUUUAAACAUUAACACUCUGGGCUCUAUCCUGGCUAUCUGUGGACACUUCACUUAUUCUUUUUUUUGACUACUGCACUG
ensembl:lncRNA